CCAGCCAAUCCGGUGACUUGAAUCAAAUAAAAAUCUAUGGAAAAAAACUAAAGAUCAGAGUUCAUUGAAGAGGUCCAUGGAACCUUCAAGAAUUGAAGACUGGAAGAAUAGAACAAAAUCACACCUGAUCAAUGCAUGUGACUACUUUCUCCGUACAGGAGGCUUCUUAAAGCUGCAUUACCAACAAAGGCUUUUCCUUUAAUUAUGGAGU